UACGGAGGGUGCGAGCGUUGUCCGGAAUCACUGGGCGUAAAGGGCGCGUAGGCGGCGCGGGUAGUCAUCGGUGAAAGUUCAGGGCUCAACUCUGAAUCGGCCGGUGAUACUCCCGUGCUCGAGCACUGUAGAGGCAGGUGGAAUUCCGGGUGUAGCGGUGGAAUGCGUAGAGAUCCGGAAGAACACCGGUGGCGAAGGCGGCGUUCUGGACUGCAACUGACACUGAGGAACGAAAGCCAGGGGAGCAAACGGG
rnacentral:rRNA from 1 species